UACGUAGGGUCCAAGCGUUGUCCGGAAUUAUUGGGCGUAAAGAGCUCGUAGGCGGUCCGCUAAGUCGGAAGUGAAAUCUCAAGGCUCAACCUUGAAACUGCUUUCGAUACUGGCGGACUUGAGGCAGGUAGGGGAAGGUGGAAUUCCUGGUGUAGCGGUGAAAUGCGCAGAUAUCAGGAGGAACACCAGUGGCGAAGGCGGCCUUCUGGGCCUGUUCUGACGCUGAGGAGCGAAAGCGUGGGGAGCAAACAGG
rnacentral:rRNA from 1 species